AACGAACGCUGGCGGCAGGCCUAACACAUGCAAGUCGAGCGCCCCAGCAAUGGGGAGCAGCAGACGGGUGAGUAACGCGUGGGUAUCUACCUAGUGGUGCGGAAUAGCCCAGGGAAACUUGGAGUAAUACCGCAUAAGCCCGAAAGGGGAAAGAUUUAUCGCCAUUAGAUGAGCCCGCGUUGGAUUAGCUAGUUGGUGGGGUAACGGCCCACCAAGGCGACGAUCCAUAGCUGGUCUGAGAGGAUGAUCAGCCACACUGGGACUGAGACACGGCCCAGACUCCUACGGGAGGCAGCAGUGGGGAAUAUUGGGACAAUGGGCGCAAGCCUGAUCCAGCCAUGCCGCGUGAGUGACGAAGGUCUUCGGAUUGUAAAGCUCUUUUGGCGGGGACGAUAAUGACGGUACCCGCAGAAUAAGCCCCGGCUAACUACGUGCCAGCAGCCGCGGUAAU
rnacentral:rRNA from 1 species